UCCCUUUCAUAGCUCAGUUGGUAGAGCGGAGGACUGUAGAUCCUUAGGUCGCUGGUUCAACUCCGGCUCGAGGGAG